rnacentral:lncRNA from 1 species
AAAAAUUUCGAUCAAGUGUCUACUGAUCAGAUUCCGAUCAGCAAUGAAGAACUCAUUCAAUCAGAAUCGCUGGUAGCCUACAAAUUUUUCACACAGCCGAGUCGCAAGCAACCCAGAAGUUGAACAGAAACGAAGGCGACCCAAGAUGGAAAUGCUGAACAGAUGAAACCCCGCGCCGGCAGCCCAAGAUGCAGAGAUGAGCCGACAGCCAAGAACCGUUGAUGCUGUACGAAGAAAUCAAACAAGGUUAGUUUUUCAACCAACACCUACUGUUAUACUACUCUGCUCUACUUGGGAAAAUUUGAAGAAAGCAAGGGAAGAAGAUGAUAGAAAGCUCCUCCUGCCGUGAAAAAAGCCAACCAAGAAAAACAAGAGAAAAUUCCAAGAGGCUGUAAUACCAUGUCAAUCUUUUAGCUGAAUAAUUAUCCCUUGGGACAUCUCUGAAUUAUAUAGUUACAAUAUAUAAUUUAAAAAUGGUAAAAGCAAUCUAUAUAUAGUACAAUCGUAAUAAAUAUAUACACGUCAAGCGUAAUCUUCGAUGAUCUUCGUAAUCUUAUUUAAUCUCAUUGACAAAGUCAUCCUUCCUCAAUUAUGAUUUAUUCUAAAUACCUAUAAUGCUAAUUCUUUGUGAGAAAUUGAUGUCCCUCAUCUUCUCUAUCGUCCUUAUUUAUAUCAAGACGAAAUUCCAACUUACAUAUUGUCCUUCUAGCCUCCUUUUUUUCUAUUAAAUAAAUAGAAUCCAUUUGUGUGUUUUUUUUUGCCCCUCUAUAUUUAUCUACAAUUUUUAAAGAGGCUUAAUCAGCUAAUUCUUUGUGAGAAAUUGAUGUCCCUCAUCUUCUCUAUCGUCCUUAUUUAUAUCAAGAUUAAGAGGACUUCUAUUCAAUUCUAGUUCAACUUAACCUAAAAACCUUGAGAUUUCAACUCUUCUUUCGAAAUUCCAACUUACAUAUUGUCCUUCUAGCCUCCUUUUUUUUCUAUUAAAUAAAUAGAAUCCAUUUGUGUAUUUUUUUUGCCCCUCUAUAUUUAUCUACAAUGUUUAAAGAGGCUUAAUCGGCUAUCAAGGUGUUUUUCCUUGGAGAGGUGAGGGAUAAAGCUUCCAGAUAGACUAAUAAAUAUUCAAAAGAAAAUAAAAAUACAAAAAAAUAUCCUAAUGAAUCAUGCACCAUCUUAAAAAUCCAUAAUAGAACAAAUUAGCAAAAUUGAAAGUUUAGCUUGCAAACAAUAUAAAAUAUAUCAGUAAAAGAAAAGAAAAUAACUUGAAAAGCUAAGAUCAAUAAUAGAAUGUCCAAAAAGUGCAAGACAAAGGACAAACAAAUUAAUCAUCUUGAGGCUUAACCUUGAGGUGUUAGCCUCACGAAUGGCACUUAAGGUGCGGGAAAAUAUAGUAUCAUAAAUUUAAAUGGUUAUCCGACACUUUGCAUUCACACCUUAAUAUAUACACAAUCAUCGUGGUACUUCCCUUCAUAAAAUGACUCGAGGCAAACCUAGAAAAUAAGAAAAGAAUAGAAUCUAUUAAAAAGACAGGUUAAAAUUUUUUGUUUAAAAAAAUAGAUCAAAUAUUGAGGGGAAUAAUUAAAUGUCCGAAAAGGACAUGACAAACAAGCGCACGCCUCAGUUGCCCUGAAGCUUAUGUAAGUGAAGCUUAUGUAAGUAAAUAGAGAUAUAAGAUAAAAAAUCAAGGAUAAGCCUUCACAAAUGGAAUUAAAGAGCAAGCAUCGAAAUGCUAAGAAGCAUACUUGUAAACUUAUUGUGUAUCCGUAUUUGAUACGUGUUCAAAUUUGGGUACGUUUGGACGCUCUUCGAUACGUACAUGAUAGGUUUUUUUUUUUAAUUAUUUUAUAUUUUUUAAAAUUUUAAAUACGUAUUUGACACCUUAGGACAAGUGAAGAAGAAGAGUUGUAUUGGUUUUAAACUUUUCAAAUCUCAUUAUAUUAUUAAUGGUAAUAGAUGAUAUAUAUAUAUUUUUUACCUUAGUAGAUAAAUAUUGUUAUUAUCUGUAACGUAUUGAAAAUAGAUAAUAUUUAUUAACUAGACCCCCGUACUUAUCAAAAAGUUUAAGCCCCAUUCUCUAAAAAAAAAAAAAAUUUUAACUUAUUUUCAACCAUACAUUUUGCUAUUAAAAUAAUUUUGCAUAUAAAUUCUAAACUUUUUCAUAUUUUUAAACAUAUAUUCUCCAAAAAAAUCACUAUUACAAAACUUAUUUUUCACAAAAAUGGGGCUCAAUUUUAAUUUUCUUAUAAUAAUGAAAUUAUGCUGAAUUUUAUUUUUAACUUGUGAAAAAUACUAGUAUAUAUACAUGUAUCCACAUUCUAUACAUGUAUUCACAUAUUCUAAGUUUUGUUAAAAAGAUGUAUCGUCGUAUCAGUAUUGUAUCGUAUUCGAAUUACAUAUCCGAAUUCGUGCUUCUUAGUUGAAAUAUUCGUUGAAAGCCUUAAAUGAGGUGGCCUCAAGGCAUAAGCUUAAAUAGCCAUUUUAAAUUGUGGACACUAUCAGACUUGACUUUGCUAUAUAGAGAAUCGUUUUCACUCUUAAAAUCUCAUUUAAUUAUUCUGGUCAUAAAUUCCCAAAUAUCUUAGAUGCUUCUAAACUUAACGAAAGAUUCUAUUUGGACCAAUUUCAUUUAAUAUUCCAAGUUUUAUUAAAAAGAUGUAUCAUAUCGUAUUCGAAUUCGUGCUUCUUAGUUGAAAUAUUUGGUGAAAGCCUUAAAUGAGGUGGCCUCGAGACAUAAGCGUUAAAUAGCUAUUUUAAAUCGUGGACAAUCAAACUUGACCUUGUUACAUACAGAAUCUUUUUCACUCUUAAAAUCUCAUUUAACUAUUUUGGUCAUAUAUACCCAACGGCGUAGAUGCUUCUAAACUUAACGAAAGAUUCUAUGCGUACCAAUUUCAUUUAAUAUUCAUUCUCUUGAUUGCCAAUCGUACUUUGGGAAAAUAUGCUUAACAUUUAUAUCUUAAAUAGAGUUUAAACAUCCCCAAGAUCCACGUUAUGCCUUUUAUUAAAUAUUUUGCCAAAUUAAUCCAUUCUUUUGUAACAUUUCACCAUGAAAGGUAACUUUUUUAUUUUGAUCCGUAAUAUGUUUGGUUUAGAUUUCUAUUUCUUGUCUCUUAGCCUAUUUAUCUUGUAAACAAUUCUUUUCAUCCUUAGUUCCAAGAUAUAUACAACUUCUUUUACAUUUUUCUUCAUGCUCCCAAUUUAUCCUGUUAGUUUCAUGUUUAGCUAAUUUGGACUUAUUAGAAAUGUAUGCAUUUUUAGAUUUCACGCCUGUUCAACCUAUUCCAAUUAAGAUUUUAGCUUGAUUACCUAAAUCAACCAGUUGUCUUUUGGCGAAUUGCUAUAAGUAUGCCAAAUUUAAUUCUAUUUUCGGAAUGGGCACUUAAAUGCUAAUAGACUACUUUCCUAAUAUGGAUAAAUAUAUAUGUACCGAAAAUGAGUUAUCGAAUUGGUGCCCUGCCCUCACAUGCGCGCAGGCCCCGCGUGCAUUUAAAAAUUCUGGCUUGUGGGACCUACCCUCCUGUUGUGAGUGUAGGUAAAAGAUUUAGUAAAAAUGUGUAGAUAAAUGUAGCAUUGUCCUUCCUAAAAUAAAUCUUAACUAUAUGAUCUCAUCUCAUCCGAACUUGCUUAGCUUCUCUCGGCCAAUAAUUUAUUGAGAAUUAGAAAUUCGAAUUCUAUUCCACCGCGAGAUAUUCGUGAAAAGAAAUAAAGACACGCAAGAGUUAUAAAUGUUCGUUUCAAUCUGAGAAUACGUCCUCUUCAUCCGUUGCAAUAAUUCACUAUAUUGAAAAAAAGUUUACAACAAAAAAGCUCAAAUCUAUCUUCUCUAACCCCUCUCUCUCUCUCUUUUAUAAUGGUAAUAUAAAAGCCUAAUGAUGGCUCCCUCUUUAUAAGCAAAUUAGGCAAAAUCAAAAUUUACAAUGAUACAAAUUCCUAAAUUGGAACUUAUGAAACACAAAUUCCUAGACUGAAAUUUUCCUUCUAACUCCCAUGUCGACUUCACUGCAGAUGUCGGUCCGCGUACUAGCUCUACAUAGCAGCAUAUUUGAAUUUUGAUUAUGACUAUGGCUAUCUUGUUUGACGCUUUUCCUUUUAUUUUAUAUCAAAGUUUGUAUCUUCUGUUGAUGGUUUGACUGCCACGGCCUUGUUCAAAUAAUCUUAUUAUUAGUGAUCACUGAUAGUUAUACCAAACUAAUUGCAUACUGAUCUUCAUGUUAUAUGUAGAAUUUAUAGUAUUAUGUGUUUAGGUAAGAAGUAAAAUUGAUAGUUUCUUUCGAUUGUCAUUUGCAUUUUUGGUCUAGCUAUUGUUGCAGGACAUGUUUUUUAUUUAACAAUCUUAUUUACCUCAACAAUAUUUGCCCCCCUUCUAUCAUUGAAACAAGAAUAACAUUUAGUUCUGUAGGUCUAGAAAUUGUCUUUAUCUGGUAAAUGUUGCUUUGAACAAUUGCUUUGCUAAGUAUUUCAUUCAAGUGCCAUCGGACAUGGGAAAUUUAGAUAAUGAGAGUAAAUAUUAGAUUAUAAAAAAUUGCAUAGCACAUCAAGUGAGGUUCCGACACACGUGAAUGUGAGUAAAAUUAGUCGAAGAAAAUAGAAUUAGAGUAGGAACUUGGAUCAUAGAAACAGAUGGUGCAAAAUGUUGCAAGAGAUGUGAUAUUUGAGAGUCCCCUGUUUAAGCGUGUGAGAAGUUGAGUGCAUAAGGAUGAAAGCCAAAUAAUUUUAUUUAGUACCAACAGGAAAAGGAUGGAAUUAUUUAUAGACUAUUGAGGAGGACUAGACUAUCAGUUGGCAUAUCGUAGAUAUUGGGGAACAUUAAAAUCCUACUAACUCUAGUUAUGCCAAACUAAUUGCAUACUGAUUUUCAUGUUAUAUGUAGAAUUUAUAGUAUGAUGUGUUUAGGUAAGAAGUAAAAUUGAUAGUUGUUGUUCUCGAUUGUCAUUUGCAUUUUUGGUCUAGCUAUUGUUGCAGGACAUUUUUUUUAUUUGACCAUCUUAUUUACCUCAACAAUAAUUGCCCCCCUUCUAUUAUCGAAACAAGAAUAACAUUUAGUUCUGUAGGUCUAUAAGUUGUCUUUAGCUGGUAAAUGUUGCUUUGAACAAUUGCUUUGCUAAGUAUUUCAUUCAAGUGCCAUCGGAUAUGGGAAAUUUAGAUAAUGAGAGUAAAUAUUAGAUUAUAAGAAAUUGCAUAGCACAUCAAGUGAGGCACUUGUGAAUGUGAGUAAAGUUAGUCGAAGAUAAUAGAAUUAGAGUAGGAACUUGGAUCAUAGAAACAGAUGGUGCAAAAUGUUGCAAGAGGUGUGAUAUUUGAGAGUCCCAUGUUUAAGCGUGUGGGAAGUUGUGUGCAUAAGGAUGAAAGUCAAAUAAUUUUAUUUAGUAACAACAGGAAAAGGAUGGAAUCAUUUAUAGACUAUUGAGGAGGACUAGACUAUCAGUUGGCAUAUUGUAGAUAUUGGGGAACAUUAAAAUCCUACUAACUCUAGGAAAUAAAUCUGUCUUAAUAUUGCACUAGGAGGAUGAAGACUAGAAAAGCAAUUGGACCAUAUGGAAUCUUAUUCUAGGUGAGGUAGGUAUUUAUGUUUGAUGGAAUUAUAUAAUAGCUUAAAGUGUUAACAGAUGCUUAAUGAAGGAAUUAAAAAUGUUAGAGAGGGGUGGGGGGGGGGGGGGGGGGGGGGGGGGAGGAUUCAAGGCUGUACAAAUUAUAGACAUGUUAAGCUCGAGUUAUAGAAUGAAAUUUUAGUAGGGGGGAACUAUUUUGUAACUGGGAGGCUUUAAACAAUCAAUUUGUUGUUUUGUCGAGAAAAUGUGAUAUGGAAUCAUCUACCUGCUUUUGAAAUUUGACGAUGAAGUAACAGAGAAAAGAAACAGGAAUGAACAUAGAAAUACUUGCAAGUACAGUUUGUCCAAACAUGCACCCUCAAAAAACUAAAAUUGCUUAUUUACCUGUAAGUGAACUUGUAAACUUUUUAAACUUACCCAAAUAUGCUCCUUUUGAUGUUCAUGGUAGAGAGGAUUCAUAUAAAAACUAGUUGAUACAUAGUUUUUUUGUAAAAGAAAAUUUACAGGACAAUACUGGAUGGAGACAAUUGACAAAUUUUAUUACAUGCCGCUCUUGCUAAUCAUGUUCAAUUCUAUCUAGUCGAGUAUAUCAAACAUGGUCUUGCAAUUUAGGCCUACAUAUUUGAAAGGAGAUAUCUCCUCUUUCAAAAUUAAGUUGGAAAAGACAUAGUUUCUUUAGAAGUUAUAACUAACCUUGUGCUUUUUGAGCUGCUUUCCAUAUUUUCUUAAAAUAUUUUUAGAUGAAAAAAGGAAGUAUUAAUUUUCUUCGGUGUCUUCCUAUGGCAUAUAACUGUCCAUGUUGCUGAUUACAUCUAUUUUAUUGUAACAUUAGCUGAUGAGCCAUCGUUUUCAUGAUUUCCGAGAUGAGGCAAUUCUUUGUCAGACAUCUCAUGAACAAUUUCUUCAUCAUUUGGACUAUUUGGUAUAUGCAUGCUCUUCUAGAAUUUCAGAGUCAGGAUAGAAAUGUGUUCUAGAACUUUUGAAGCACUGCAAUAUGGAUUCACUGAAGUUCCCCAAUAUGGAUGAAGUGCCUAAAUUUUUGUUGUGCUUGGAGUUGUAUGAAUCCUAUCCUUCUAAUUUGACUAAAUUUUACCCUUCCAGAUCGUAGGGCGCAUGUCAAAAGAGCAGAAAAAGGUUCUCCUCUUCUUCUGGACCUCAAUAAAAUAUCUACCGGUUGAAGGUUUUGGUGGUCUGGGUUCUCGCCUUUACAUCUAUAAGUCGUCUGAGUCAUCCAAUCGGCUACCAUCUUCUCACACAUGCUUCUACAGGUUGUGUUUCCCAGCUUAUCCUUCCAUGUCCAUCAUGCAAGAUCGACUUCGCGUCAUAACUCAGGAACAUGUAGGUUGCAGCUUUGGUACUUUGUGACAAACUAGCUGCAAUUUUGGACUGUGCUUUCUGUUGCACAUAAAAGAUGUGCAUUCAGGCUGUAGUGUACAUAAUACAGGCAACUCUAAUCUGUUUUGGAGCCAGACCAUGUAAUUAAGGGGUGUUGCCAUUGUGUUCUCUUUAAUUAAGAUUGUGACUUAUAGCGUCCCUUGUCAAAUGUUGAUAUUGGUAAAAGCUAGUUAAUAAAAAAGUAAAGAAUUAUGAAAGUUCGCUUACAUUUUGGAAUUCCUUUUUCUUUGAAGGUGAAAUGCUGAUCCCUCUCCCCCAUGCGUUAUAAUGUCC